rnacentral:rRNA from 1 species
UACGGGGGGGGCAAGCGUUGUUCGGAAUUACUGGGCGUAAAGGGCUCGUAGGUGGCCAACUAAGUCAGACGUGAAAUCCCUCAGCUUAACUGGGGAACUGCGUCUGAUACUGGAUGGCUUGAGUUUGGGAGAGGGACGCGGAAUUCCAGGUGUAGCGGUGAAAUGCGUAGAUAUGUGGAGGAAUACCGAUGGCGAAGGCAGCCCCCUGGGAUAACACUGACGCUCAUGCACGAAAGCGUGGGGAGCAAACAGG